AAGUUACCGCGUGAGCGAUUGCAGCGGCAUCCUUUUUUUGCAAAAAAAAGAUAUAGCGGAAAGCGCGGUCUUCA
rnacentral:sRNA from 1 species